rnacentral:rRNA from 1 species
UACGAAGGGGGCUAGCGUCGUUCGGAAUUACUGGGCGUAAAGCGCGCGCAGGCGGUCUUUCAAGUCAGUGGUGAAAGCCUGGAGCUCAACUCCAGAACUGCCAUUGAAACUGCAAGACUUGAGUACGAGAGAGGUGAGUGGAAUUCCCAGUGUAGAGGUGAAAUUCGUAGAUAUUGGGAAGAACACCGGUGGCGAAGGCGGCUCACUGGCUCGUAACUGACGCUCAGGCGCGACAGCGUGGGGAUCAAACAGG